GCCCGGGUGAUGGAAUGGCAGACAUGAGAGACUUAAAAUCUCUUGGGUGUAUAACCCGUGUGGGUUCGACUCCCACCCCGGGCA
rnacentral:tRNA from 4 species